rnacentral:lncRNA from 1 species
GGUGGGGGGCGGCGCAGUGACUUGCUUCGACUUUGUCAGCUUCCAGGGUUCAUUCCACUGCCCAAAUAUGUAGUGAGUUACUACCGGCUUUGCUUCCUCCUUCAGCAAACGGCUGGACCACACAACUUCAGGAGAGAGGAUUUUAAAUGUUAGGGUCAUUUUCCCUAAAACGAUUUCAAAUGACGUCUCUUUAUCUAUAGGUAACCCAGCUUAAAACAACUGCGGUUGGCCCGGGAUCCUCACUGCCCUUUGCCAAGUACCAGAGAAAGAUAAGGCCUACUAGGAACCAGAGAAAACCAGAACCAGCCACCCCUUGUUACUUUUAGAUCAUUAAUACAUCAUUAUAUGCUCAACUCCCGACCCGUAGAAGAGAAUCGCCGCCAUUUUCUGAUAGUGCAUUGUAUGAAGAGGCAUGUUUAUGAAAUGCACCUGUGCGUCUAGAGUUCCUCCCGGCAUAUGCUUGCAUACCUCCCCACUCCACAUCUAACGCCUUACAAUUCCCCAGCUUCCCAAAGCUCUGGAAGAAGGGGGUCUUUAGAGUGAAAGUUUACUCCUUCUCUAUUCCUGGCCAGGAAUGAAACCCGCUUGCCGUUUUUUCCAGUUGGUGUGCUUUCUUUGCAACUGAUACAGACUAGGAAAAGAACGCAAUUUACCAGUAACAGUAGAGCUGGGAUUUAAAUCUAAGUGCUUUGACUUCAAAGACAAGGUUCCAAGCUGCUACACAUACCAAUUCUCGUUAAAGUGUAUUCCAUUUCUUUUGUGCUUUCAUAUUGACCAUUGUGUGUUAAUCCUUUCAAUUGGAAGAAGAGGGAGACAGUGCCAGUUAUUGCAAACUUUCACAGUCCACAGGCCCGAUAUGUAGCCUUCACCACCCACAGGUUCUGCCACUUCUGGGGCAUUAUAUUCCAUCAAGAUCCAGGCACCCGCCAUCCACAUACCAGCCCUGGAACUCGUCCCUUCUCCCAGACUUGGAAACGCCACCUCUCCCUGACCAAUGUCGAGCCACUUCCUCAUCUUGAUACAUCAGCCACUAUCCUUUCCAUCUUUCAGGCAACUCCAGCUUAAUUUCUCGAUGGCCUUGCCCUUCUAAAAGGCCGUUCUCUUUUCCCAGAUGACUUUUUCCUAUCCCCUCCACAGUAACUCCCCUCAUCCUUCCAGUCUCAAUUCAAUUGUUCCUUGGUGGGGUGGGGCGGGGGGAGCCUUCUUAAACCCUCCUCCCUCACAACUGCAUGAGGUCCCUUGUCUCUAAUAUAAGCUCCUGUAGCACCAUGGCACUUAUCCCAGUUGAGAUUUUAAAUAUAUUUCUGUGUAUUUGAUUAAAGUUUCUCUCCUCCA